rnacentral:rRNA from 1 species
GUCCACGCCGUAAACGAUGGGCACUAGGCGUCGGGGGGAGCGACCCUCCCGGUGCCGUCGCUAACGCAGUAAGUGCCCCGCCUGGGGAGUACGGCCGCAAGGCUGAAACUCAAAGGAAUUGACGGGGGCCCGCACAAGCGGUGGAGCAUGUGGUUUAAUUCGAAGCAACGCGAAGAACCUUACCUGGGCUUGACAUGUACGGGACGGUCGGUGGAAACAUCGGCCUUCCUUCGGGACCCGUGCACAGGUGCUGCAUGGCUGUCGU